UUCAUACUCCCUCCGUCCGGAAAAGCUUGUCCCUCAAAUGGAUGUAUCUAGCACUAACUUGGUGCUAGAUACAUCCAUUUGAUGGACAAGCUUGGGACAAGCUUUUUCGGAUGGAGGAAGUAUGAU
rnacentral:pre_miRNA from 1 species